UGAAGCAUUAACACCUAACCAGGCUCAUUGCGGGCCCAGGGCGACACCCUUCAGCCCUGGGGCUCAAACAGCCCAAGGGCAGCCCUCACUGUUCUGGAGGCUGCAAGUCCAAGGUGAUGUGUGGGCUGGCGUUGUUUCUCCCGAGGCCUCUCUCCUUGGCUUGUAGGCUGCCUCCUCCUGUGUCCUCCCAGGGCCUCUAUGUGCCCAUGGCCCUGGGGUCUCUUCCUCUUCUUAAAAAUGUAUCACUGACUUCUGGCCUUCAUGGUUUCAGAAGAGAAAUCUGGUGUUACUAAUUUGGUCUUCCGGUACAGCCCUGAAUGAAUACAACAGAACAUCAGCAUUUUUUAAAGCCUCUCCACGUUGAGAUUUCAGUAAUCUUUCCUUCCACGCAUGCUCCGUCGUCUCUGUAAAUAUGACGACGCCUCUCAGAUGUGGCUUUUUACAUGAAAGCAUCUUAACGAAGCAGUACAUAGUUCCACGGUGAGAAGGCCACCGCACAGGCGUGUACCACGAAGCGUCACACCCGCGGGUUCGGUUGUUGUAGACCUUUUCCUCCCCAGUGGAUACCCCACUCUCUGUAUUCACGAGAUGAACACAGAAGGAACUCGUUAAGCAAUCCGGCUUUUGUGGGACAGCUGUGAUCUGACACUUUUGAAAUACGAUCCAGGUCACGGUGGCGAAGGGUGCAGACCUCCUUUUUGGCACCAGCGUCUGGAGUGGAUUAUUUUAAAUGAGGUUGUGGGGCACUGGCGUCCCCCGACGGAGCUGCUACUGCAGCCAGAGCUGGUUCCCGAGAUGAUGCGGGAAUCCGCACGCAUCCCAGGAACCCGGAGGCGCACCUGUCCUGCGGUUCUCGGCUCUGUCCUUCCAGUGCCACGUUUGCCAACUGCGUCGAGGGCACCGCCCUUUAUGCUUCAACCGCGAUGACGACUUUCAUGCCGAGGGGACAUUUUAUUUGCAUGGAAUGUCUUCCUCAGAAGUGUAAGUGACAUUACCUGGAUUCUUCGAUGCAUGUUUAUUAAGUGGAUAAAAAAAGGUAAGUCCAAAAUAACCCGCUGCUAGCGAUGUGACCGCGUGCUGCGGGCCGCCGUGUGGGCAGCCGCGUGGCUCCCAGCCCUCUUCGCCUCACGGGCUCUGCUGCCGUGGAGCCCCCGGUGGCCAGGGGUUCGAAACCAGACGGCCCCCGGCCCUCCACCCACCUCCGAUCACACGAGUGGGUAGAAUUGGGCUUUCACCCACUUUUCAGCAGCUAACAAGUCCAGUUUGCUGAUAUGGGGAAUGUUUGUAUCUGAACGUUUAUUUUUCCGGAUCAGAGUCUGGCUAAAAGACAAAGAAAACAGUCCGCUUCGUGGGUGACGCGCUCGCCAGCCAUCUGCCUUCUCUCUUCCGUGUUGACUCAGAACCCGCCGCGUCGCCUCUUCCCGGGGAAUUUCACCAAAAGCACAUUCCUUGCCUCCAGUAUGAAUGGCUCGUUUGGAUAUUUGGAAAGAGCUUUGUAACAGAUAUUUUGGGAAGAGAUUCUGCACCAGGCCGGCCCGAAGGCAGACGCUCGUUUGCGCACAGGCACACCCCGGUGACCUGAUUGGGUCGCCUGCGUUCCUCUCCCCAGGCUUAGCGGAAAGUCGCCCCGGGGAGGAGAGUCUUAGCAGCUGCAGUGUCGGGUCUCAAGGCCAUGUCUCCUGUCAGCCCCCGAGAUCUCCUCACAGAGAAGUCGGAGACGGAGACACCGCCAGGGUGUCAUCCAGACUCACUCGUGACACCCGGGACCGGCCUCACUGCCCCUUCUCUGUCACAGCACUUGUCCAGGAUGGGCCGAACCUUGCCCUGAGAGAUAACAUCCCAGGAAACCGGUGAUUUCCCAAAGGGCCCUCGAAUCUGCCUUGACUCCUCACCCGAGGCGACCUCCCUUUGUUCCACUCAGCAGCACGCUUUGUGUCCCACGCACAGAUUCUGCUUCUAAGUUUGGGACCCUUUCCCCCUUCGAAUCAUGGCGUUGGUGUUUCCCUCCUGUGUAUCAAACCUGGCUCCUGUAGACCACCAUGUGAGGAAAACUAAUUUUUUACAGAAUAGGUAUUUAUAGUCUGGGGAACAUCACUGAGACUCCUGGGGCCUUGUUGCUGAAUGACUUUUCUUCUGGUUUCUCUGCAGGCCAAGCAGACUCUCCCAUGUUGAGGACACAGGACCUUGGCAUCAGGAAGAGGGAACCCCAAUAACAGCUCCUCGGUUUCUUAGCCUUGUGGCCUGCGGCAGUAUUGUGAGCCUCAGUUUCCCCCCUGUGAAGCGAGGGGGAAGCACCUGCUUCUCGGUGCUGGGUGGGGCCCCCACGGGGCAGAGGUGAUAGGGCGCCGAUCCCACUGAAGGACGGCCAGGCGGAGGGACGCCCGCAGCUAGCCCUCACGCUCCGCUCUGAUCGAGAGCUCGCAUGUCGCUGUCUCGCUUGGUGCUGGCCGGCCGUGUCUGCGUCGGGGCUCCCGCUAAUGCAGGCCCUAAAAUGAAGACCGCAGGGACAGGAGCUUCUCUGGGAGGCCAUCCCAGGAGGCCCCCGCAGCGGAGGCCAAGGCGCUGACAGAGCUCCAGGGGCCACACCCAUAAGAGCGUCCCGGUGCAGGCAGUGGGGGCUCGGCCCCUCUGGGGUCCUCCCCUCGGACCGCUUAGCCGGUCGGGGGCGGUUGGCUGCCACUCUGGGCCCGGGGCUGCUCCAGCACAUCCUCGUCCACCCAACAUAAGCUCUCGCGGCCACGGCGCUUGCCAUAGAGGUCGUGGGUCUGCGAACGUGAGCUCCCAGGAAAUGUGGCAUCCGCAGCGUCUGCUACGCCGACCCUUACGUUUUGCAGAAGACUCCUCGGCAUUUACCGUGUAGUUCCGGUGACGCAGUGAGCAGACCGGGCUGUGCUGGGGUCACCAGAAGGUGCUCACCUCCCUCGGGCGCUGGACGGGGCUGCCGGGAAGGGGCUCCCUGCCCCCGACGCAGACCCUGCAGGAGCCGACAGCUGGGGCGGCUCUUCCAGGAAGGAGUGACUGGAUGACGUGUCUGUCCGGCACAUGCGCCCUAUCUCGCUUCUAGAAUCCCGGCAGGCAGGCUCUCCCGGCCCGGGGCCACCCCUCCCCGGACCCUUCUGUGCAGGAGAGGCUCCAGGGGCUGACAUGUGGAGUGAAAGGCCAGGCUCCCUGCCCAGCACACUGCAGCGGGCCAGUGGCCUGGGCUCCCCUCACACUGCCGGCUCGCUGCUUAGCAUCUACACUCCUCAAAAAUUAAUACACAGAAAUUUCCCCAAACCAGAGACACGAGCUUCCGUAUCGAAGAAGCCCAUUGAACGCCCCAGAGGAUGAGUGUCAAGACCAGUGGCGAAGCACGUCAUUAUGAAGCUUCACAGAUUGCAACGAGCCAAGUUUCUGAAUUGUGUUUCAAAGUUAAGCUGUUCAAUUUAUAAAUAAGGAUUCAUAAAAGUGUAUUCUAACUUUGUGAGGCAGAGUUAAUUGGACUGAAUCACUGCAGUUGUGAGUAAAAUCAGCCUCCAGUAAGAAAUGUCG